rnacentral:hammerhead_ribozyme from 1 species
AUCCAGAUGAUGAAUCCCAAAUAGAACGAAAUGCGCAUCCUGGAU